rnacentral:ncRNA from 2 species
UUUCAACACACUUUACAAGGUUUUGCUACGGCAAACGAAAAGGGAAGCUGGUGAAAAACCAGCACUGUACCCGCAACUGUAAGUUGUAAAAGCUCUUUUUUGCACAUAAUGCCACUGUAAGUAUGCGUACUUAUGGGAAGGCGCAAAGAGUAUGCAACGAGUCAGUAGACCUGCCUUGUAAUAGUUAGUAUA